rnacentral:rRNA from 1 species
GACGAACGCUGGCGGCGUGCUUAACACAUGCAAGUCGAACGGAAAGGCCCUGCUUUUGUGGGGUGCUCGAGUGGCGAACGGGUGAGUAACACGUGAGUAACCUGCCCUUGACUUUGGGAUAACUUCAGGAAACUGGGGCUAAUACCGGAUAGGAGCUCCUGCUGCAUGGUGGGGGUUGGAAAGUUUCGGCGGUUGGGGAUGGACUCGCGGCUUAUCAGCUUGUUGGUGGGGUAGUGGCUUACCAAGGCUUUGACGGGUAGCCGGCCUGAGAGGGUGGCCGGCCACCUUGGGACUGAGAUACGGCCCAGACUCCUACGGGAGGCAGCAGUGGGGAAUAUUGCACAAUGGGCGCAAGCCUGAUGCAGCAACGCCGCGUGCGGGAUGACGGCCUUCGGGUUGUAAACCGCUUUCGCCUGUGACGAAGCGGGAGUGACGGUAAUGGGUAAAGAAGCACCGGCUAACUACGUG